AGGAUAAUAGUUUAAACAAAACAUUUAACUUGCACUUAAAAAAUAUAUAAUCUAUAUUUAUCUU
rnacentral:tRNA from 1 species